CCACUGUAAUCAAUCAACUAAUCAAUUCUCUCUCUCUCUCUGUCUCCACACACACACAGAAUGAGAGCAUACACAUAUAUAGGUGUGUGUGUGUGUGUGUGUGUGUGUGUGUGUGUGUGUACAACUUUUGUGUCAGCAGUAGGACUUUGUCUGCUCAGAGAGAAACUGUACCAUCAUGUCACUAAGCUGGAAAAGAGGGAGUCACUUCUCAAGCACUUAAAAUAGUUCCAGCAACAAAUAGAAACCAGCUCACAACAGCUUAAGGCAAAGUACCAAAAGCAAAUGAAGGCCUGAUAGCAACAAAGCCAAUGGCUUAUAGAGGACUUUGAGAAGGACAUCCCUGAUCAGUUUGGAAACUUUCCAAGCGCAGCUGAUACUCUGGUGAUUCAGCAUGAGCAGGUGAGAUUUCUCCUUGUCGAACUGUCACAAGGGCAUCAUAUGAAUGACAGCCCAAAUGGACCCACCAGCCAGUUUCCAAUUAAGAACACAUAAAACAAUGAAGCACAGGAGAAACCUCAACAGCAGCUCAACAGAACGAAAUGGAGCAGUAAACGAUGAAGCCAUGAAGAGCCAGGUAUUUGUCAAAGCCUUAUUAAAAGGAAAUCUGUUAAUGCGGAACAAGUUAGAAAUAAAACCUGUAACAAGAGGUGGUGCUGGGAUUCGGUGCCCUUCAUCAUCAGGUUUGGUGACUUAUUCAAUAACAUCCAACAAGUUUGAAAACUGGCUAUGGUUCCCAAGACCGGCAUUGCAGGAGAACCCAGGCAAACUUUGGAUAAAUGGAAGGGCUCAUCAGUAAUUACACAAAAGUGUUGCACUUUCUCUAUGGAGCAAGAAAUUUCAGCCCCUGAAACCUGCUGUACCUUUAAGAAGGUCACCUGUGAACCUUUGUAGGGCAGAGGACUUGAUGCAUGAGUUCCACAAAGACAAGACUCAAACAUUAACCAAGCUGGCUAUAAAUGGCUAUUGGGCUGUCCCUUAAGUAAGGAGGCAAGCAGGAGUAGGCUGACCAAGGUAUUCUGUGCUGGGUGGGACAGUGCCCAAUUUGCCCUAAUGGACCAGCCCUCAUGUGAUCUGGCUUGACAGUAAAGAAAAGAAAGAAGCCUUGUGUUCCUGCUUGUGAAAACAAGAAUAUGGUUAAUAAAUACCCAUUUAUUCAAUGAGAGCA
rnacentral:lncRNA from 1 species